rnacentral:rRNA from 1 species
ACUCCUACGGGAGGCAGCAGUGGGGAAUAUUGGACAAUGGGCGCAAGCCUGAUCCAGCAAUGCCGCGUGAGUGAUGAAGGCCUUAGGGUUGUAAAGCUCUUUUACCCGGGAUGAUAAUGACAGUACCGGGAGAAUAAGCCCCGGCUAACUCCGUGCCAGCAGCCGCGGUAAUACGGAGGGGCUAGCGUUGUUCGGAAUUACUGGGGCGUAAAGCGCACGUAGGCGGCUUUGUAAGUUAGAGGUGAAAGCCUGGAGCUCAACUCCAGAACUGCCUUUAAGACUGCAUCGCUUGAAUCCAGGAGAGGUGAGUGGAAUUCCGAGUGUAGAGGUGAAAUUCGUAGAUAUUCGGAAGAACACCAGUGGCGAAGGCGGCUCACUGGACUGGUAUUGACGCUGAGGUGCGAAAGCGUGGGGAGCAAACAGGAUUAGAUA